UACAGAGACUGCGAGCGUUAUUCGGAUUCACUGGGCGUAAAGGGUGCGCAGGCGGCCGAGUGUGUGAGGCGUGAAAGCCCGGGGCUUAACCUAGGAACUGCAUCUCAUACUGCGUAGCUAGAGUAUUGUAGAGGGUAGUGGAAUUUCCGGUGUAGCGGUGAAAUGCGUAGAGAUCGGAAGGAACACCAGUGGCGAAGGCGGCUACCUGGACAAAUACUGACGCUGAUGCGCGAAAGCGUGGGGAUCAAACAGG
rnacentral:rRNA from 1 species